UACGUAGGGGGCUAGCGUUGUCCGGAAUCAUUGGGCGUAAAGCGCGCGUAGGCGGCCAGAUAAGUCCGGUGUGAAAGUCACAGGCUCAACCUGUGAAUGCCGCUGGAAACUGUCUGGCUUGAGUCCGGAAGGGGCGAGUGGAAUUCCUGGUGUAGCGGUGAAAUGCGCAGAUAUCAGGAGGAACACCUAUGGCGAAGGCAGCUCGCUGGGACGUUACUGACGCUGAGACGCGAAAGCGUGGGGAGCAAACAGG
rnacentral:rRNA from 1 species